UGUCUGAUGGUCUGUUAUUUUCCAUGAGCUUUCAGCCCUCUUUUUAUGCUCUCUCUCCUUAACAACUCCGCCCGUGAGGAGCCGGACCGACCCGAUCUUAUAUUCGAACAUUUGGAUCGGCUGCUCCCGGUCCGAACUUGGAAUCGUCAAUGAAGUACGAUAAUCAAUGGAGACACUAUCUGAUGAUGUUGCUGGUCAUAUCAUCAGCAGCUGCGGCAUCCGAGGUUGGGAGCGGAAAUGUCCACAUACCCACCACGUUGGAGGGCCCGUUUGAACCCGUGACCCGGAGAUUCGAUCCGGCACUGCGUCGGGGCAGCGAUGACUUGCCGAUGGACCAUCCAAGACUGAAGAAGAAAGUGACCGGAAUGACCCCGGAGCAGGUCGCCCUGGCGCUCUCCGCUGCGCCUACCUCGGUGUGGGUCUCUUGGAUCACUGGGGACGCACAGAUCGGUUCGGAUGUGAAGCCGCUUGAUCCUUCGUCUGUUGCCAGUGAAGUUUGGUAUGGUAAAGCAAGUGGGAACUAUACGAGCACACAGAAGGGGGUUGCAGCUGUUUACGAUCAGCUUUACCCGUUUGAGGGGCUCCAGAACUACACCUCUGGAAUCAUUCACCAUGUAAAGUUGGAAGGACUAAUACCAGGAGCGAAGUAUUACUUUAAAUGCGGGGAUAGCUCUAUUCCGGCCAUGAGCGAAGAGCACAGUUUUGAAACUAUGCCUCCAGUUAGCCCAAACAUGUACCCAAGUCGUAUAGCAGUUAUCGGAGACUUGGGCCUCACAAGCAAUUCAUCAACAACUAUCGAUCAUGUUAUGAGGAACGACCCCUCAUUGGUUCUGAUGGUAGGGGAUUUGAGCUACGCAAAUCAGUACCUUACAACUGGCGGCAAAGGAGCUUCCUGCUUCUCGUGUGAAUUUCCUGAUGCACCUAUCAGAGAGACGUACCAACCUCGAUGGGACGGAUGGGGAAGGUUCAUGGAGCCAUUGAUCUCCAGAGUACCUAUGAUGGUCGUGGAAGGCAACCACGAGAUUGAGCCUCAAGUUGCCGAAAUAACUUUCAAAUCGUACUCAACAAGGUUCGCAGUUCCCUCAGAGGAGAGUGGCUCCAACAGCAGCUUCUACUACUCCUUCAAUGCCGGAGGAAUUCAUGUUGUUAUGCUCGGAGCGUACAUCGAUUACAACCAAACUGGCAUACAGUAUACAUGGCUAAAGGAAGAUUUGAGCCGAGUGGACCACAACAUUACGCCGUGGCUCGUGGCUGCAUGGCAUCCCCCCUGGUACAAUAGCUACUCAUCACAUUACCAAGAAUUUGAGUGCAUGAGGCAGGAGAUGGAGGCUCUGCUUUAUGAAUAUAAAGUCGAUAUUGUUUUCUCUGGACACGUUCAUGCUUACGAGCGGAUGAACAGAGUAUAUAAUUACACGCUAGAUCCAUGUGGGCCUGUCUACAUAACGGUUGGAGACGGUGGGAAUAUUGAGCAAGUGGAUGUAGAUCAUGCAGAUGACCCUGGAAAAUGCCCUUCGCCUGGGGACAACAUGCCAGAAUUCGGAGGGGUUUGCCAUUUGAAUUUCUCUUCUGGGCCUGCAAAAGGCAAGUUUUGCUGGAGCAGGCAACCUGAGUGGAGCGCAUACCGAGAAAGUAGCUUCGGGCACGGAGUACUUGAGGCAGGUCAUUAACUCAACAUAUGCGUUAUGGAGCUGGCAUAGAAAUCAGGGUGCAUACAAGGAAGAUGAGCCAGGCGAUCAGAUAUUCAUUGUCCGACAACCCGAAUCGUGCAUGCCGGUUCUCAAAGAAGAAAGCGGGCCUCCCCAAGUUCAGGCUGGAAACGAAGUUGCAACCCUGUCGAUAAAAUCUGCAUGGCUAUUGCUGUCAAUAUUUUCUCUGGUUAUCUUUCGCAUUUGGUGAUGGAUAAUCGUAUCAAUCAAUUGUUGGAAUUUGAUUAAUCAAGGUUGUAAUUUGAUGGAAAUAGUGUCUCCUGGGAUUUGAUUGUGGACCUUUCGGUGGUGACUGAUUGUAUAUAUUGAUCAUUAUAAGAGGGGAAAUUUAAGUUGAAGAGUUUCUUUUUUGUUUUUAAUCAA